rnacentral:rRNA from 1 species
AACGAACGCUGGCGGCAUGCCUAACACAUGCAAGUCGAACGAUGUCUUUCGGGGCAUAGUGGCGCACGGGUGCGUAACGCGUGGGAAUCUGCCCUUGGGUUCGGAAUAACCGUUGGAAACGACGGCUAAUACCGGAUGAUGUCGAUAAGACCAAAGAUUUAUCGCCUGAGGAUGAGCCCGCGUAGGAUUAGCUAGUUGGUGUGGUAAGAGCGCACCAAGGCGACGAUCCUUAGCUGGUCUGAGAGGAUGAUCAGCCACACUGGGACUGAGACACGGCCCAGACUCCUACGGGAGGCAGCAGUGGGGAAUAUUGGACAAUGGGCGCAAGCCUGAUCCAGCAAUGCCGCGUGAGUGAUGAAGGCCUUAGGGUUGUAAAGCUCUUUUACCCGGGAUGAUAAUGACAGUACCGGGAGAAUAAGCUCCGGCUAACUCCGUGCCAGCAGCCGCCGUAA